GUCUUUACAAAACCUACCAUUCACAAAAACUGCAUGUAGAAAUAUAAUAUCAAAGAGUAUAUAUUAUAUUACUACGUCAAAGUUAAUCAUAAGGAGAAAAGUAGAGAAAUAGAUAACCGGAGAUUUCUUUACGUACCGCCUUUUAGGUCAUCAAUGGCAACACAGAAGUCUUGGAGUGGACUUGGAUCAUAAGCAUUGACAAAGGAAAGGACCAAAGCAAUUAUGGCAAAAGGGAUUAGAGAUUGAGAAACCCUCAUUAUUGCUCGCU
rnacentral:sRNA from 1 species